UACGUAGGAUGCAAGCGUUGUCCGGAAUUAUUGGGCGUAAAGAGUUCGUAGGCGGUUGCCUAAGUCUGUUGUUAAAGGCCUGAGCUCAACUCGGGUAUGGCAAUGGAUACUGGGCGGCUAGAGUAUGGUAGAGGUCACGGGAAUUCCAGGUGUAGCGGUGAAAUGCGUAGAUAUCAGGAGGAACACCGGUGGCGAAGGCGGUGGUCUGGGCCGGUACUGACGCUGAGGAGCAGAAAGCGUGGGGAGCGAACAGG
rnacentral:rRNA from 1 species